rnacentral:lncRNA from 1 species
CAUAAUUCAUACUUCUAAUGAAUGAAGCGGAUGACAUGCUAUUUUUUUUCUCAAAAAAAAAAAAAUAUGUAGAACAAUUUGAAAAAAUUGUUGAUAUAUUGGAUUUUUUUCAUUAAGGCAUUAUGAUAUUCUAUACAUCUUUCCCUUGCAAUGGAAGAAUAUACAGAUGUUUGUGCAUUUGGAUUUAGAAGUUCAUUUCAACAUUUGUAGUAAUGGUAUCAUACACCUAAUUUGCCAAAUUUGGAGUUACUGUUUCUAGAAGCGCACAAGCUGUUUAAUUAGCAGAUAUUAAUAUGUAACGUAUCUUAUUUGUGUACUUAUAUAUUGACAAUUUGGAGUUUUUCUGUUGCAAUUUAAGUUCUUUUUUAUGAUCACUCUAAAAUUCUUCUCAAAAGCAAUUUGAUAUAUCAGAUUAGAUAAUUUUUGGAAUUGGAUUCUAGAUCAGUUUCAAACCCCAGCUAAAUUCUAAUUACUUAUCAAGUGAGAUAUAUAUAACAUGAGUGCGUGUGAACUAAUUAGUUUAAGCAAUUAAUUUUGAUCUCAAAUGCAGAUUAUUCUAGAGCGAUUUUGACGCGGCGCUGGAUAAGGCUCACUUGUCAUGUACCCAUUGGGCGUUGGUUGGAUAUCACAUCAGAUGCGAUUGCAAUGGUUUGACAUUUGCUCGACGUCGCGGUCUUAGGUUCGAGAAAGUUCUCACUAUGACAGAUAUAUACAGUAGAUGACGAGCUUCUCAAUAGAGUUUUACUGGAGAGCUCUUCGCAUAAGUUUUGUCCGAUCAAACCCGUGUAUAAAGCGUGGUUGGGGUUGGGUCGGCUAAGGAGUCAUCAGAGGAAGAGCCAUAUAUGAUUGGCCCAUUUUGGUUGCCCGAUCGUGCAGGGAACUCCGUAAUUUGCGGUAAGUCAACUUAAACCAUAGAAAAUUAGAAAGAGAAACUGGAAGCUUGAAACCCACUUUCUCAUUAUAAUUCAAUCCAAUCACGUGCAAUCCACUUGGCUUCGCUGUAUCCAUUGACGAAGAAUGCCCAGCUUUAUCUUUUUAUUUUCUCAUUCCCUCUUUUUCAAUAAUUUGUUAUCUCUUUACAAUCUUUUUAUUAAGUAUAAGACUAUUCAGAUUUAAGCUAGUUUUAGCUCUGUUAAUAUGGUUAUCGGAGCGGACUAAGCGCUCCACGAACUACGGAGAUAACAUUAUAAAAAAACUUAGAUAUGAUCGAACACAAUUGAAAAUUAUGGAGAGAACUAGAAAUAGACGAGAUGCGUGACAAAAAAACCAACAAUUAAAGUAAAAAACAAAUAAAAAAUAAGUUAUUUUCCUAAGCAUUUAAUUUUUUUUGUGCUGUUAUGAAUGUUUGGCACAAACAUCGGUACGAAAUGUGAGUUGCCACCAAUUUGACCUCGUCCCCUUUCUCUAGGUUUGCAUCAACAAGGGAGGAAGAUGGUAUAGAGGAUGUUUUAACUUAUGUAACAUUUAUUAAUUUGCUAUUUUCGAAACUGAUAAACUUAUAAAUAUAUAUAUAAAAGAUAUGUUUCCUUUAAUUGAAUGAAAUAUUAUAUUAUGGUUAGAGUCGUGCGCAACAUGACCUGAAACGUUGUGCCAAAUUACCUUUUUGAAUAUUUAAAUUCAACGAAUUAGCUGGCCAUGUGAUCCAGUACAAGGUAGCUGUUUUUGCUGCAUAUGUAUAAUCAGCGAAUAUUAGUUUGCUAAUAAAAAAACCUGUGCUAGUAAUAGUAUGCUUGCACACAAAAUAACUUAGUUGCCCCUAUGUUAAUGCAGAAUUGUCACUUAUAUAGAUCCAGAAGCUAUCUUACAUAAAACAGAGCCCAAAUAAAGGAAAUAAAGAAAAAAAAAAAGGAAGUGGGUUAUAUUAUUGCACAAUCUAAUUACCUAUCUAAAACUUAGAGCCAACAAUGUUUGGAAGAGAAAAUUGUGGAUAAUUUAUUCGUGCAAUGCGUAUUUAGUAAAUUUCUAAUAAUAACAACUAGUCUUGAACCGACCGUCCCUAAAGUAAGUGGCAAAGGGCUUGGUGGUUGGUAUCCAAGACCUAAGUUCGAAUCCAAGUUGAUUUACAUUUUCAGCUAAGUUUAUUUCUAAAUGAAAUAAACGAAGCGAGUAACGUGCUACCGAUCUCUCAAAAAAAAAAAAAAAAAAAACUAGCCUUGAAGGGGAUUCAGUCUAUGAAUUUUGGUGAUGAUGUGACUGUCCUUUAGGAUAAUUGGAUGUUAAUAUAUAGAACUCAGCCUAUUCGUUUUAUACUGACCAGACUGAUAACUUACUAGUGGGUUAUUUGAAAUGUUAGAAACGAUAUGCAUUUAGAAAGAUUAAUGCAAAUCCUUUUUCAGUAGUCAAUAAAAUCAGAUACUUGAAAAUUUUGUGGGAGAAAUUUCUCACGGCAAAGUAGCUACUUUGUAUUCUAUUAACCUUCUUUUUUUGUUCGUCUUAAUUGAGGUCUACUAUCUUACCCCUGCAGCAUAAUUCAUACUUCUAAUGAAUGAAGCGGAUGACAUGCUAUUUUUUUUCUCAAAAAAAAAAAAAUAUGUAGAACAAUUUGAAAAAAUUGUUGAUAUAUUGGAUUUUUUUCAUUAAGGCAUUAUGAUAUUCUAUACAUCUUUCCCUUGCAAUGGAAGAAUAUACAGAUGUUUGUGCAUUUGGAUUUAGAAGUUCAUUUCAACAUUUGUAGUAAUGGUAUCAUACACCUAAUUUGCCAAAUUUGGAGUUACUGUUUCUAGAAGCGCACAAGCUGUUUAAUUAGCAGAUAUUAAUAUGUAACGUAUCUUAUUUGUGUACUUAUAUAUUGACAAUUUGGAGUUUUUCUGUUGCAAUUUAAGUUCUUUUUUAUGAUCACUCUAAAAUUCUUCUCAAAAGCAAUUUGAUAUAUCAGAUUAGAUAAUUUUUGGAAUUGGAUUCUAGAUCAGUUUCAAACCCCAGCUAAAUUCUAAUUACUUAUCAAGUGAGAUAUAUAUAACAUGAGUGCGUGUGAACUAAUUAGUUUAAGCAAUUAAUUUUGAUCUCAAAUGCAGAUUAUUCUAGAGCGAUUUUGACGCGGCGCUGGAUAAGGCUCACUUGUCAUGUACCCAUUGGGCGUUGGUUGGAUAUCACAUCAGAUGCGAUUGCAAUGGUUUGACAUUUGCUCGACGUCGCGGUCUUAGGUUCGAGAAAGUUCUCACUAUGACAGUCAUUUUAUUUACAAUUAAUAAUUAAUAGUAAAUAUUGUCUCAAAAAUUUAGAUCUUGCAUAGAAAUGCAAAAGUAAUUUUUUUUUUUAAAAAAAAUAUUUUUGAAUCAAAGUUAUUACCUUGUUCUUAGAAUGUUGUCUUCAUGUAACAUUAAUUAUAUUUAAUUAGAUUUUUUUUAUCUAUAUGAUACAGGUA